rnacentral:RNase_P_RNA from 1 species
GGAGAAGGACAGAUGAUCGCCGCCCGCCGGAGCCUUGGCGAAGGCGGGGGGAGGAAAGUCCGGGCUCCACAGGGCAGGAUGGUCCUUAACGGGGACCGGGGGCGACCCCAGGGAAAGUGCCACAGAGAGAAGACCGCCUGCCGAAGCCUUGGCGAAGGCAGGUAAGGGUGAAAGGGUGAGGUAAG